UGAUAAAGAAAGGAGUUAAACCAAUGUAAAUAGGACUACAGCCUACCGCCUGUCAUUCGGCCACUUUACCU
rnacentral:tRNA from 1 species